ACCUGGGUGGCUCAGUCAGUUGGGCAUCUGACUUCAGCUCAGGUCAUGAUCUCCCAGUUCAUGGGUUCGAGCCCCAUGUCAGGCU
rfam:Felis catus isolate Cinnamon breed Abyssinian chromosome A2, whole genome shotgun sequence.